rnacentral:lncRNA from 1 species
UGGAGAGUUUGUUGUUAGUCACAAACACAAUGACUCCUGUGACCAGAGUAACAAUUAUAAACAUUAUGGCAAGAAAAAAAUAAAACAUGAGGGUACGAUGUGUUCCACCCUUUCUUUCCCCCAGCUGGAACUUUGUCAAGCAGCAUUGGAGGUCGGUUGGGCUUCGCCAGGGAUACAAGGGUCUUGUUAAGUCACUCUGUUGUCCAGGCUGGACCCAAGCUAGUGAUCCUCCUGCUUCAGCGUCCCAGAGUGCUGGUAUUACAGGAUCUGGCACUUUGGGACUUCCAGAUCAUCACCAUUCAAAGUGACCAUGAAAGGUAAAUGUUUUGAAAUGACUCAGGACAUUGAGGUAGCCUGGAAAGCACAACUAUAUACACUCACAAAAGAGGACUUCCAGAACUUCUUCCAGAACUUCUUCAGAAAGUGGCAAGAAAGUUGGGAUAAAUGUGUUCUAAUUGAGGGAUUAAUGGCAAUGUGUCUUUUACUGUAAUAAAUGUUUUCAAGGAAACAUGUAAACAUUCAUUGUAUUUUUUGAUCAUACCUCAUAGAAACUCUGUGGCUUAUAAACAAUAUUAGCUCAUUUCCCACAAUUCUGGAUGUUUAGAAGUCUAAGAUGCAAGCUAUAGUAUAUUUGGUAUCUAGUGAGGGACAACUUUCUGGGUCAUAGGUAGUGGUUUUCUGAUGUGUCCUCACAAGGUAGAAAGGGGAACAGUUAUCUCAGGCCUCCUUCACAAGAGCACUGAUUCCAUUCAUGAGGGCAUCUUCAUGACUCCAUGUCUUCCAAAAGCCUCCACAUCUAAACACCAUUAGCUUGGGGGUUAAGAUUUCAACACAUGACAUUGGAAAUAAGGGACACUAUCCUUAAUAUUACAGUGGAUAGUGAUGUUUUUGCAAACCACAUUAUUUAGUGUCAAUUUGUAAAAUAAUAACAAUCUAAUGAGUGAAGAAUUUUUAAAAGCCAUCGGAAAAAAAAAGAAUUAAAAACAUCAUAACACAAUGAUAUAUGGACACCCAUGUUUAUAGGGGCACAGUAGUAGCUAAACCUUGGAAACAGCCCUAAUGCCCAUCAACCAGUGAAUGGAUAAAAAAAGAUUUUUUUUUUUAUAUAUACAACGGAGUAGUACUUAGCCAUAAAGAAAGACAAACUUGAGACAUUUAUAGCUAAAUGGAUGCAACUUGAGACUAUAUUCUUAAGUGAAAUAAAUUGGACAUAUAUGUGAAAAAAAGCCACCAGAAAUAGUGAUUUUGUUUAUUUUUUAAAAUCAUUCAAAUGAGGUGUCCAAAGGUGUUUGCUAAAUAAAAAAGACAAAAAAAAUAUGAUAAUGGAAGUAUUCAGUUUAGCUGAUUUAUUUGAACCCUAGAUUGGCAUGCCAAACCUUAGAUUCAGGUUUUCUUUUCCUUUUUUUUUUUUUUUUUGGUACCAGGGAUCAGACUCAGGAACUUGCACCUGUGCACUUGCAAGGCAGGAGGCGGAACCACUGAGCUAAAUCCCCGGCUCUGAUCCAGCUUUUUCUGAGAACAUGUUACCCCUCACUUUAUACGAAUCUGAUACUUCUGUGGACAUAAAGAAUAAAAUAACUGUUAAUAAAGUAUCUUUUAAUUAUGAAAAGGAUACGAUGCGAAAGAAGCAACACACUAUUUACAAAUAUUCUAAGACAUUGGCACUGAGAGGCAUACCACAGGAAGGUGCUAUAUUGGGUUUCAAAGAACUACAUAUUAAACAAUGAUGAAAUCUGUCUCUCCUUAGAGAGUUGUUACCAGCUGUGUUCAGCAAGUGGUGGAUUAUUUUAAGCUUUUAGGUUUCUUGACUGAAGUUGAAAAUAGCUUGAGAUUAUCAAGCAGAAAUCCUUGUCCUUCUCAUUGAAAUAUGCAAACCUAGAAGAUAUGUGAAAUUACAACAGCACUGUAAACAGGUGUAUUAGUCUAUGAUCUGGUAGACUUUUAGAUGAAUGCAAAUUAACUAAAAUACCCUGAAAAGACUUGGGGAAAAAUAAUGGCUCUGGGAAAUGUUUUUUCUUGUUAAUUUUUAUUGAAGUGAAAUUCAUGUCACAUACAAUCAAAUAUUUGAUAAUGUUUUGUCUCUGAUUAUAGCCAUUCUAACUGGGAGGACAUGAUAUCUCACUGUGGUUUUGAUUUGAAUUUUCCUGAUGAUUGAUUAUGUUAAACAUAUUCUUUUAUAUAUUUAUUGAACAUUGGUAUAUCUUCUUUUCAGAAAUGUCUUACUAUUAUUGGCUCAUGUUAAAAUCACACUACUUGUUUUCUUACUAUUGAGUGCUUUGUAUUCUGUAUGUGUUCUGUGUAUUAAUCCCUUGGUACAGGAAUACUCUAGUCUUGUGAGUGGUUUGUUUAUGUGCUGUGCUUUACAGGAGUGUCUUAGUUUUGUAUAGUUUUACAUAGUAUUAUAUAGUCUCACAUGUCUAGGUUUGCUUUUGUUGCUUGCACUUCUGGAAUAUUAUUCAAAGAACCACUAUCUAUAUCGGGGUCUUAAAGUGUCACUCUUGUUUUCUUGUAGUUUCAAACAGUGUUUUUUAACCACUUCUGCUCUGUUUUUCUCAGUUUACUUAGAAAUUAACUGGACAAUUGUAGGAGGAACUAUAAUUGCAGGAUGUUACUGAUAUAUCCUGCAAUGUGUAGGAUAGUCCACUACCAUAAAGAUUUAUUGAAGUUAGAUUCCAAUAAUACUUUUCUCACUGAGACACACUGUGAAUGAAGAUUUCAAAUUUCACAUUGGAUUGACCAAAAGAAAGUAUUUUCAAACUCUGUUAAAAUAGCUUUAAAUAGUACCUGAGAUUGUUUUGCAACCUUCUUUCCAAUCAAACUAAUUUUCCUUUGAAUAAGUAACUAAAAUGAGCCUAAUUCUUACCAAUAUACACAAAAGAAUGAUUUUCUGUAGUUAUAAAUUUAUAUUUUAUUAGAAAAAUUAGAGCUUAAUUACUCAAAACUGAUUGAUGUCAGCCUUGGCCUUCUAGAAAGCUAUACAUUGUUAGGAAAUAAACUCUGUAUUUAAUGGGCAUAGUGUCUUUCCAAAUUUCUAUAGAAACAUUAGUCAUAGAGACCAAAUAGAUUUUUUUUGUUAUCAUUUAUUAGAAGUAGAAUGUGAAUAGAGAAAGAGAAUAUUUCCCUUUCUUGAAGCCAUGUGCCUCCCAAAGUCUCUGGACUACAUAUAGUAGCCAUAAAUUGUCCAUAGGUUCUUGAGGUAAGGAGCUGUUCCUUCUUAGCCCUGUAAUAUAUGCCAUGAGAGUGACCAUUGUUGACUACCUACUACUACUGGGUUUUCCUGGAAAAGGAAGCUUUGAUAGACGCUCUCUAAACCCAGGACCCUCUAUUUCAGUUGCCCACAUGCCCUGUGACACAGCAUCUUACAGGCUCAGGAUGGCUGUAAAGUCUUCCUUGCUCCAAAAUGGAGCCAAACACACCCUCUGGCAUAUCUCAUCUGUGGAGUCAGCGGUCCCCUUUGUCCUCAGUCUCUUAAAGAUGACAUGGCACCAAGGAAACUUGCCUUUGCCCCUAGACCCCUUAUGCACCUGAACAGCCUCUUGAAAUUAACUGAGUGAACAGUCAUAUGCACUUGUUGGUUCUCCAUCAUAUAUGAUGGAGCUAUGGAAUAUUGCUGGUUUUCAUCCAUUAAGGAGAAUUUCCUUGAUAAUGGGUAGGACUCAGAGGCCUUAUAUGCCUGGCCGAACUCUAGACUGUAAUCAUAACACUGGCUCCUCUGGGCAGCAACUGGUCCCAUCAGUGCAUUUUAUGUAUCCAAUAUUCCCCUAGAUCACUCCUACAUCAAAUUCAAGAACUCUGAGAACCUCUUACCUCUCAGAUACCCAGAAUAUAAACCAAAGUAACAGAUAUAGCUAUGUUCUAAGGACACAAUAUGAGAUCUCACAGGGACACUCCUUUUCCCCUUCAGAGCCAGAUAUUACAUACAGUCACUAAGGUACUUAUUUUGCUUCUCAAAACACACAAUGCAGUGCUUUUAAAGAAGGACUCCUACCUCCUCUAUAGGCUCCAGGAAAUGCUUGACUAGAGAAAGAUAAUGAGAUCCUCCAAAAAUUCCUAUUUAAAUUACAAAAUUCCAAGUGGUUGCCCUGCUGCAUUUCUUAUUGCCACAGGCAUUGCUUAGAAACAGAUGCUCUUUUCAUCAGUGUUACACAAUUUUCUUAACUGUCUUAUACGGUCAAUGAGAGCAUCAUCUCUAAAGUUCACAUUUUGACAUCCACCUGCCCCCUGAGCCACCCAGAGGUGGUGAGUGUCUUCCAUACUGAAGUCACUGUUGCUUGUGGAUCAAUAAGAAUGAUUCAACAACUUAUAAGAAAAAUAAAAACCCAUAUAUGAGUAACACAAAAUGUUUCCCAAAUCCUAAAAAACAAAAAAAGCCAAGGCUAUGCUGCCAGAGGACUCAUAUAUUCUUUUCUGCAGUUUGCUAAACAAAUGGGGUCAGUAGCUUUUCAUGAGCUUGAAAAUCUAUUGCUCAUAAUUCUGACCAUUCUAAUCCUCUCUCAUCUUUAAAUAUUUAUUGUGAUUAAUUUAUUGUGUGUCUCAGAAGUCCUCUUUUUCAACCUCUCAAGAUAUUAGUCAUCAGCACGGUAUUUGAGUCAUCAAAUGUGUCAGUUGUAUUAUGAAUCCUAAAAUUUCAUGUGCCAUUAGACCAGUGCUCAAUCUAAUAGCUUUCACUUUGGUGUCAGGUACAAAAUUACUUAAAUUAGUCAUGCACAUCCUGCCGAGGGAACAAGGGGUCACUGAAUCUCCUGUUUACUGUGAGGUCUGCCUGCCACAUCCUCUACAUGUUCAUUCUGUUCCCAAGUGCAACUCCCAUGUAGACCUGCCUAGUGCUCUAUGUUACCCUCUCUUGGGCUUUGAGUAUUCAUGACCAAAAAUCUCCUGUUAAUUUAAUCUCUUUAAUUUUGUGUGUUGUGUGUUCAUCCACUCCCUUGAACCUUGAGGCUGAAUUUCCUCCUUCACCAACAGAGAAUAGAGGAGACCAACAAAAUAGGAUCUCACUGCCUUAAAAUCCCUCUCCUGUCUCUUAAUUAUAUAAUGCAUGCCAUUUUCCCCAUAGGUCUUUUGGUCUGUCCAUGCUGUGAAGCCAGAUGAGGUAUUGCAUCCUUCCUAAUCUCAGAGGAUGGUUGGGGAACACUAAAUCAUAAAAUUUCCAUAGUGAUGACAUAAUUUUAUCUUAUGCCUUCAAUCUUCUCUUCUUCCUCAACUUCAUGCUUGGUAGGUUGUACCUGAUAAUUUUUGCAGAUUGUUGGAAAGGUGAAAAAAAGUUUUUACUCAUGAUGCGGCUUCAGAAAACUCCAUGGAAAAAUUUUACUUGAAUAAUCAACUUUCUCUUUUUCCCAGAAAUUACCAACUCUUAGAGACAACUUUCUGUGUUCUGCAAAGAUAGUUUAGCUUUUCUCUUACUUUCCCUCAAACAAAUACAUUACGUGUACUUCUUGUGUAUAGUAAUUUUUUUUUGGUACCAGAGGUCAAACUCAGUUCCUUGAGCUUGAGAGGCUGGCGCCAGAACCGCUGAGCUAAAUCCCGGCCCCUUUUGUAUAGUAUUGAUUGACAGCCAGAUGUGGAAAAGUUCCUUGACUUUAAAUCAAUAUUCAUUAUAGAACAUGGUGUAAUCACAGAAACAAAUCUUUGGCUAGAAAGAUUUAUGAUUAAAUGAGUUAAUAGUAGCUAAUUGUACACUUUCUAUAGGGAAGAAUCUUCACAUGUGCUAUUUCAUUUCCUACUUAAAACAAAAGGAAAAUCCUAAAAUGACCCCUUUCUUCACUUUAUAUAUGACAAAAUUGAGGCCUAGCAAAGUUAAGUAACUCACUUCAAAGUUCUCAGUCAGAAGCAAAGCCAAGUCCAAAAGCAAGUUGUUUGAUUUCAGAUCUCAAAUACUUUAAUACUUUUACCAUAGAAUUUUCUGAAGUAACAUCAUGAAUAAAAACUUUUUAUCAUCUCCCAACAAUCUGCAAAAAUUAUCGAACACAACCUGCUGAGCAUUAAUACUCUCCCUUCAUUACAAUGACUAGUGGAAAGAAUGCUACAUAUGCUGUGUGGCAGUGCUUCUCUGUCGUUAAUGUAUACAUGAGUUACUAGGGCACCCUAUUGACAUGCAAGCCCACAGACACACUUUAACUAGCAAGGACAAGAGAUCAGAGAAUGGAAAUGAGAGUUUAGAAAGCAAUGCUGAGAUUCUCCUGCUGAUUUGGACACUGCUUCAACUCCUUGCUGGAAAAGAAUUGCACAUCAAAAGUUAAAAUCGAUAUAAAAUAGUGGUUUUAUUCUGGACAUUAUACUAGACACUAAAUAUAAAAAAUGUUCCAUUGUCUCUAAAUGUAAGGAACCUCUAGAGCAAUAGACUCUGAAUCCAAUGUGUUGUUUCCAUUCUGAUCAGAAUGCAUGAAUGUUAUCAAACAUAACUAACACCAUUUUCACAUAACUAACAGCAGCAUAUCUCCAUGGUAUGAUUUGUCCUGCUUCUGAAAAAUUACCUUCCUACAUUAUAAACACUAUCAAUGGUUAUAAUGUUUCAUUCUUUCAUCCAACUAUCCCUAAAUUCUAUUGAAAUAAAAACAUAAAACAUAAUCUUAACGUAUUAAUAUAUAUUUGUGAUGAAAUUGCAUUACUUUUCAUACUCUUACAAUUUUCUCCCAAUUUAUAGAAUAUGUUGGUUAAAAUAAUUAAUUUUAACCAUACAUCUCUAUUAUAAACUUCAUUAUAUGUCUGUGAGUCAUUAAAAAAUAUAUGCUGUUAUAAAAUUUGUAUUCUGGACAGUGUGGCUACUUCCUCUCUCUCAAUUUUAUUAAUUAGGCUACAAAUAUGAAUAAACCAGCUAGUGUAAUGGAUAAAAACUACCAUCAUCAUUAAGGAGAACAAGAAAUCUGUAAAAAUAAGAAUAAUCCAAAUUUAUCUAUUAAAACUGGAUCAUAAAACAGCCCCAAAAUACUAACUAAAAACAAAAUGAAAUAACAUGAACUAAAAAAAACAGUUCAAGUUAUUCACAUCUAUCUUAGAUACAAAUGUUAAUGAAAUACAAGUAUUCACAUACCAUAGGUAGCUUCAUAAUUCUGGAAACAAAAUCCAUUUUCCUGCAAGUGCAAGGUCCCGAGUUCGAUCCCCGGUACCAAAAAAAAAAAAAAAUCCAUUUUCCUAUCAAGUUCUAGAAAAAUCUAUCAUAUCAUAGAAUCUGAUGCUGAUAUGAAAAAAUAAGUACAAUAAUCAAAUCUGAAAGUGAAUACAAGUUCAGAGAAAUGUAUAGUGUAAGUGAACAAAAGUUCAUUGUUAAUCUUAUAGAAUUAGGCUUAUUUAUGUAUUUAUUAUUUAUUUAUUUUUGUUCAUGAAAAGAUUCAAGUCAACCUACACAACUACUUCAUAAGAAUUUCAUGUAAGGAAACUAUGGGAUAAAUAUUCAGAUAUACAUUGCUACAAAUGAUUACAUGACAUUAUGUAUUCUAUUGUAUCUAGCAGUACAUUUUCCAUUGAUUUAGAUACUGACUCCUAUCUUAUCAGCCUUGUUUCAGUAUUUACAAAAUUGAAUACUCAAUAAGCUCUGAUUAUAAUGAAUUUGGAUAUUGCUUAUUGACAUCUCAGUCAAACUGCAGUCAUACUUUUCAGUAGACCCCAUGAAUUGUUUUAAAGAAACCUAAUAUAUUUACUCACGUCUUUAUGUUCUCAGACAAUGGCAGUGAUACAUUUUGUAUGAGUGUGUGUGUGUGUGUGUGUGUGUGUGUGUAUUUUGUGGUUCCUUGCCCAGUUUCUGUGAUAUCUGAUGCUAGCAGAAGUUUAAUAUAAAUAACAUCUAACAAUGUUAGAAACCUUGACUUUUAUGUAUCUGUUAGGUGAUAGAAGGUAGAUAGAAAUUUGCAUUAUGAGAAUACAUAUGGUUUGACAGACUAUUCAUUUCACGCUUUUCUAACAGAGAUGAUACCCAAGAGUUAUGUUUAAAAGUCACCAAAAAUAGGACAUAUAUUUUAUGUUUUUAGAUGAAAAAAAUAACACUAAUCAG